UUACCUGGUUUGUCCUGCCAGUAGUCAUAUGCUUGUCUCAAAGAUUAAGCCAUGCAUGUCUAAGUACAGGCCUACCCAAGGCGAAACCGCAAAUGGCUCAUUAAAUCAGUCAUGAUUCAUUGGAUGUCGAUGAAUCCUUUACUCGGAUAACCGUGGCAAUUCUAGAGCUAAUACGUGCAAUCGAGCUCCGACCCCGCCAUUCCAGGCGGGGGAAGGGCGCAUUUAUUAGAAUCAUAAACCGAGCGGACUUCGGUCCGUCUCAUACGAGGUUGUGAUGACUCUGAAUAACUUUGCCGAGCGUUGAGGCCUUAGUGCCGGCGCCGUAUCUUUCGAGUGUCUGCCUUAUCAGCUUUCGAUUGUAGGAUAUACGCCUACAAUGGCUGUAACGGGUAACGGGGAAUCAGGGUUCGAUUCCGGAGAGGGAGCCUGAGAAACGGCUACCACAUCUAAGGAAGGCAGCAGGCACGCAAAUUACCCACUCCCGGCUCGGGGAGGUAGUGACGAUAAAUAACGAUGCGGGACUCUUCCGAGGCCUCGCAAUCGGAAUGAGUUCACUCUAAAUACUUGGACGAGGAUCCAUUGGAGGGCAAGUCUGGUGCCAGCAGCCGCGGUAAUUCCAGCUCCAAUAGCGUAUAUUAAAGUUGYUGCGGUUAAAAAGCUCGUAGUUGGACUUUAAGAUACGUGCCGGCGGCCCAUCCAAGGCGCGCCCUCGCCGACUCGCUGGGGGGUUGGGGGAUGUUCGUACGCGAACGAGGUUUGGUUUUUCCUUUCCCGUCGCUGCGGCUCUCCUAUUUUCCCACCCCUUCUGCGGGGGCAUUUCCACUCCUCAUAAAAAAACCGAGUCUAUUCUCCUUUCCCUUCAAUUUAACCUCGCGGGUGCGAGCCUCUCCCGUAAAAAACGCCAUCCGUGCGUCGUACCGUAGUUAAAAAAAAAAAGUGUUCGGGAUUUCUUCGGUUAGCGUUUCCUCCUUAAAUAUACGCCUCUUUCCUUCCUUUUCUCCCUUGUCGAUCGCGGGUCACCGACGAUUAAACCUCGUCGCCCCCCUUCGGCAGUAAAAACGGGGUUUAAAGGAAGAAGGGGAAUAACGUUAUUUUUGGGUUCAUAGGAUUCCGUCCGUCCCCGUUUCUACUUUUUUUUCUACGCUCUUCGGCCCGGUGGCGGGGACGAGCGCGACCCACCCGUCUUGGGGAAGGGGUUCAUAAAGGUUUAUACGUCGCGGCGGGGAUUUGGAGUGUUUCCCAGUUGGGGGUCCCGCGGGCGGCGGGUAAGCGCGCCCGGUGGUUCACUGGCCGGUCACGAAUUUUUAAAAGCCGUCGGCUCUCACGGGGUGCUCUUUACCGAGUGUCCCGCGUGGCCGACACGUUCACUUUGAAAAAAUUAGAGUGCUCAAAGCAGGCAAAUUUUUUAGCCUGAAUGUCGAUGCAUGGAAUGAUGGAACAGGACCUCGGUUCUGCAUUUUUCUCUCGGUUUUCCGAACCCGAGGUAAUGAUUAACGGGAACGGACGGGGGCAUUAGUAUUGCGACGCUAGAGGUGAAAUUCUUGGACCGUCGCAAGACUAACUACUGCGAAAGCAUUUGCCAAGAACGCUUUCAUUAAUCAAGAACGAAAGUUAGAGGAUCGAAGGCGAUCAGAUACCGCCCUAGUUCUAACCUUAAACGAUGCCAACUGGCGAUCCGCUUAAGUCAUUCCCACGACUGAGCGGGGAGCCCCCGGGAAACCGAAGUCUUUGGGUUCCGGGGGAAGUAUGGUUGCAAAGCUGAAACUUAAAGGAAUUGACGGAAGGGCACCACCAGGAGUGGAGCCUGCGGCUUAAUUUGACUCAACACGGGGAACCUCACCAGGCCCAGACACCGGAAGGAUUGACAGAUUGAGAGCUCUUUCUCGAUUCGGUGGGUGGUGGUGCAUGGCCGUUCUUAGUUGGUGGAGCGAUCUGUCUGGUUGAUUCCGAUAACGAACGAGACUCUACCCUAUUAACUAGUCGGUGGAUCGUUUCCCGAGACUGGUUUCCCUUCCGGGGGGUUCGGGGGCGUAACUUCGGGCCUCCGGCCUCGGCGUCCUUCCUCUUAUAGCGGCGGGUGCGGCGUCGGUGUCGUGGCGGCUCCCUUCCAUUAAAAGGUUCUUUUCCUGCUACUCGCCUCCGGGAGGGUAUGUUGGGAGGGGAUCGGAACGGGUUGUUCGCGCGGCACACGGCGUUCGCCACCGUGCGCGUAGGGGGGUUAAAAGGGGGCGUCGUGCGUUGUACGAGGAAUCGCGUUCGCUUUCGUUAUACCCCUCGUGUAGGGCCCAGCUAGGGGCGUCCUCCGCAACUUCUUCUUAGAGGGAUCGGCGGCGUCCAGCCGCACGAGAGAGAGCAAUAACAGGUCUGUGAUGCCCUUAGAUGUUCUGGGCCGCACGCGCGCUACAAUGAAGGGAUCAGCGUGCUUUCCCCCUCCGAAAGGAGCGGGUAACCCGAUGAAACCCCUUCCCGAUUGGGAUUGGGGAUUGUAAGUGUUUCCCAUGAACGAGGAAUUCCCAGUAAGCGCAAGUCAUCAGCUUGCGAUGAUUAAGUCCCUGCCCUUUGUACACACCGCCCGUCGCUACUACCGAUUGAAUGAUUCAGUGAGGGCGUCGGACUAGCGCCCUCGGUAGCCCUCGGUUUUAGCGUUUUUUACCGUCGUCGUUCUUCGAUGACGGGCGCGGCCGAUCAGG
rnacentral:rRNA from 1 species